GAUGAACGCUGGCGGCGUGCCUAAUACAUGCAAGUCGAGCGAACGGACGAGAAGCUUGCUUCUCUGAUGUUAGCGGCGGACGGGUGAGUAACACGUGGAUAACCUACCUAUAAGACUGGGAUAACUUCGGGAAACCGGAGCUAAUACCGGAUAAUCUUUUGAACCGCAUUGUUCAAUAGUGAAAGACGGUCUUGCUGUCACUUAUAGAUGGAUCCGCGCUGCAUUAGCUAGUUGGUAAGGUAACGGCCUACCAAGGCGACGAGGCAUAGCCGACCUGAGAGGGGGGUAGCCGGCCUGGGAGGUGGAACGGCGACAAGGGGCCUGCGGGACGGAGCAGUAGGGAAUGUGACGCAGUAGGCGAGAGCCUGGCGGAGCGACGGGGAGUGAGUGAUGAAGGUCUCGGGAGCGGAAUACUGUGUUACGAGGGAAGAACAUAUGUGGAAGGAACUGUGGACAGAUUGACGGUAACGGGUCAGAAAGCAACGGCUAACUACGUG
rnacentral:rRNA from 1 species